CCCCCUGGAAAUGUGACCUCACAGGAAGACCCGCCUCAGAGGAGACGGCUUUGAGGUCUAGCUCCCUGAGCUACUGCCAUGAGCUCCCCUCCUGGGCCCUGCCUCUGGGUCCUCUUCAUGCCGUCUCUGCCAUGGGCACCAGAGUCCUCUGCUGGGUGGUCAUCUGGCUCCUGGGAGCAGAAAGUGCUUAGAGCUGCAAGGAACCCCCUUACCAUUAUGGGUAAUCAGGUGAUUUGCUGUGUGGCUCUUUGUCUCCUCAGAGCAGGCACAACAGAUGGUGGAAUUACCCAGACUCCGAAAUACUUGCUCAGAGAAGAAGGACGAGAGGUGACUCUGAAAUGUGAACAGGAUUUUAAUCAUGACUAUAUGUACUGGUACCGACAGGACCCAGGGCAAGGGCCGAGACUGAUCUACUACUCGCCGCUAAAAGAUGAUGUUCAGAGAGGCGACAUACCUGAAGGCUACUUUGGCUCUCGGGGGAAGAAGACAAUCUUCUCUCUCGCUGUGACGUCGACACGAAAGAACCACACUGCUCUAUAUCUCUGUGCCAGCAGUAGAGACACAGUGAAGCACAGCCACGUCCCCUCCAUGCAGAAAUGUGUCUUGAGCCCUGCUUCCCCACGAGGUGGCAGGGUUUUGCUGUGUUCAGGGCCCCGAUCUGCCUGCUUUCCUCCACCUCAACCAGACCCCUGAAGCAGCGGCUGCCAU